rnacentral:rRNA from 1 species
CGCUGGCGGCGUGCCUAAUACAUGCAAGUCGAACGGUCUUUCUAUGGAAGCUUGCUUCCACUGAGAAGAUAGUGGCGAACGGGUGAGUAACACGUGGGUAACCUGCCCAUAAGAGGGGGAUAACAUCCGGAAACGGGUGCUAAUACCGCAUAGUUUUCUUGAUCGCAUGAUCGGGAAAGGAAAGACGGCCUUUGUGCUGUCGCUUAUGGAUGGACCCGCGGCGUAUUAGUUAGUUGGUGAGGUAACGGCUCACCAAGACGAUGAUACGUAGCCGACCUGAGAGGGUGAUCGGCCACAUUGGGACUGAGACACGGCUCAAACUCCUACGGGAGGCAGCAGUAGGGAAUCUUCCGCAAUGGACGAAAGUCUGACGGAGCAACGCCGCGUGAGUGAAAGAAGGUUUUCGGAUCGUAAAACUCUGUUGUCAGAGAAGAACAAGUUGGAGAGUAACUGCUCCAGCCUUGACGGUAUCUGACCAGAAAGCCACGGCUAACUACGUGCCAGCCGCCGC